CCUACGGGUGGCAGCAGUGAGGAAUAUUGGUCAAUGGCCGGAAGGCUGAACCAGCCAUGCAGCGUGAAGGUCAGUGCCCUAUGGGCGUUAAACUUCUUUUGUGCGCGAGCAAUCAUGGUCACGUGUGGCCAGACGAGAGUACCGUACGAAUAAGCAUCGGCUAACUCCGUGCAAGCAGCCGCGGUAAUACGGGGGAUGCAAGCAUUAUCCGGAUUUAUUGGGUUUAACGGGUGCGUAGGCUGUGAGGUAAGUCAGCGGUGAAAUGCCCCCGCUCAACGGGGUGAAGUGCCAUUGAUACUGCCUGGCUGGAAUGCGGAUGCCGUGGGAGGAAUGUGUGGUGUAGCGGUGACAUGCAUAGAUAGCACACAGAACACUGAUUGCGAAGGCAUCUCACGAAUCCGCGAUUGACGCUGAUGCACGAAAGCGUGGGUAUCAAACAGGAUUAGAUACCCUAGUAGUC
rnacentral:rRNA from 1 species